rnacentral:rRNA from 1 species
AUGAACGGUGGUAGCAAGCAAACGCUGAUAUACAGCUUCGUGGCCAAGGGCUCCGUGGUGCUGGCCGAGCACACGGCCUUCUCCGGCAACUUCAGCACCAUCGCCGUGCAGUGCCUCCAGAAGCUGCCCUCCAACAGCACCAGGUCCACCUACUCCUGCGAUGGCCACACCUUCAACUUCCUCGUUGACCGUGGUUUUGUGUUUCUUGUGGUGGCCGAAGAGGCGUUGGGAAGGAGCGUGCCGUUUGUGUUCCUAGAGAGGGUUAGGGAAGACUUCAUGCAGAGGUAUGGGUCCAGUAUCGAUGAGGAGGGACAACACCCGCUUGCUGAUGAUGCGGAUGAGGACGAUUUCCUGUUUGAGGACCGGUUUAGCAUCGCCUACAAUCUUGACCGGGAAUUCGGGCCAAGGUUGAAGGAUCACAUGCAGUAUUGUAUUAAUCAUCCAGAGGAAAUUAGCAAGCUCUCUAAGGUGAAAUCACAUCUUUCAGAGGUUAAAGGGAUCAUGAUGGACAACAUCGAGAAGAUAUUAGAUCGUGGCGAGAAGAUUGAACUUUUGGUGGGCAAGACCGAAACCUUACAGUCGCAGGCCGACAGCUUCCAUAGGCAUGGCAGAGAGCUCAGGCGCAAGAUGUGGCUUCAGAACCUGAGGUUUAAGCUGAUGGUCUGUGGUGGCAUCGCAUUUUUGAUCCUCAUCCUCUGGCUAAUGGUUUGCAGGGGCUUCAAGUGCUAG